CCUACGGGAGGCAGCAGUGGGGAAUUUUGGACAAUGGGCGAAAGCCUGAUCCAGCAAUGCCGCGUGAGUGAAGAAGGCCUUCGGGUUGUAAAGCUCUUUUGUCAGGGAAGAAACGGUGAGAGCUAAUAUCUCUUGCUAAUGACGGUACCUGAAGAAUAAGCACCGGCUAACUACGUGCCAGCAGCCGCGGUAAUACGUAGGGUGCAAGCGUUAAUCGGAAUUACUGGGCGUAAAGCGUGCGCAGGCGGUUUUGUAAGUCUGAUGUGAAAUCCCCGGGCUCAACCUGGGAAUUGCACUGGAGACUGCAAGGCUAGAAUCUGGCAGAGGGGGGUAGAAUUCCACGUGUAGCAGUGAAAUGCGUAGAUAUGUGGAGGAACACCGAUGGCGAAGGCAGCCCCCUGGGUCAAGAUUGACGCUCAUGCACGAAAGCGUGGGGAGCAAACAGGAUUAGAUACCCUGGUAGUCCACGCCCUAAACGAUGUCUACUAGUUGUCGGGUCUUAAUUGACUUGGUAACGCAGCUAACGCGUGAAGUAGACCGCCUGGGGAGUACGGUCGCAAAGAUUAAAACUCAAAGGAAUUGACGG
rnacentral:rRNA from 1 species